CUCUCUCUCUCUCUCUCUCUUUCUCCUUCACUCUUUCUCUCUCUCACUGUUGGAUAUUUCCUGUUUACAUUUCGAAUGUUAUUCCCUUUUCCAGGUUUCCAGUCCACAAGCCCCUUAACCCUUCCCCCUACCCUUCUAUAAGGGAGUUCACCUCUCACCCACAGCCUCCCCAUACCUCCCCACAUUCUCCUACACUGGGGGUACAACAUUGUCCGAAAAAAAAUUGUUUCUCAUUCCAUUGUUUCUCAACAAGACCAUCCUUUGCCACAUGCAGUUGGAACCAUGGGUCAGUCCAUGUAUAGUCUUGCUGUUGGAAAUUUGGUCCCUGGAAGCUCUGUUUGUUUGAGAUUGUUGUUAUUAACUUCAGUUCUUUCAAUCAUUUCUCUAAUUCCUCCAACUGGGGUCUGAUUUGCUUCAGUGGUUUGCUGUUGCCAUUUGCCUCUGUAUUUGACAUUUUCUGGCUGUGUCUCUCAGGAGGGAUCAAUAUCCAGUUAUCGUCAGCCUGCACUUCUUAGCUUCAUACAUCUUAUCUAGUUUUGGUGACUGUAUAUGUAUGGGCUACGUGUGAGCCAGGCUCUGAACGGCAGGUCCUUCAAUCUCAGUUCUAAACUUUGCCUCCUUAUCCCCUCCCAUGGGUAUUUUGUUUCCCCUUUUAAAGAAGGAGUGAAUCAUCUGCAUUUUAAUCAUCCUUCUUGAGUUUCAUCUGGUCUGUGUAUUGCACGAUGGGUAAUUCAAGCUUUUUGGAUAAUAUCUACUUACCAAUGAAUGCAUACCAAGUAUGUUUUUCUUUGAUAGAAUAACCUCAUGUAGGAUGAUAUUUUCUAGUUUAUUCUAUUUGCCUAUGAAUUUCAUGAAGUCAUUGUUUUGAUAGCUGAGUAAUAUUCUACUGUGUAGAUGUACCACAUUUUCUGUAUCCAUUCCUCUCUUGAAGGGCAUCUGGGUUCUUUCCAGCUUCUGACUAUUUUAAAUAAGGCUGCUAUGAACAUAUUCGACUAUAUUGCACUGUUGUAUGUUGGAACAUCUUUUGGUUAUAUGGCCAAGAGGGAUAUUACUGGGUCCUCAGGUAAUGGAAUGUCCAAUUUUCUGAGGAAACUUCAGAUGAUUUUCAAAAGGGUUGUACCAGUCUGUAAUCCCACCAACAAUGGAGGAGUGUUCCUCUUUCUCCACAUCCUCGCCAGCAUCUGCCAUCACCUGAGAUUUAUAUCUUACCCAUUCUGACUGGUGUGAUGUGGAAUCUCAGAUUUGUUUUGAUUUGAAGUUCCCUGAUGACUAAGAAUGUUGAACAUUUAUUUAGGUGUUUUUUGGCCAGUUGAAAACCUUCAAAUGAGAAUGUCUUGUAACUCACUCUACCCCAUUUUUAAUAGGGUAUUUUUGCUUUCUAGAGUCUACCUUCUUAAGUUCUUUGUAUAUUUUGGAUAUUAUCCACUGUCAGAUAUAGGAUUGGCAAAAAUCUUUUCCAAUCCGUUGGUUGCAGUUUUGUCCUAAUGACAGUGUCUUUUGCCUUACAGAAGCUUUGCUGUUUUAUGAUCUCCUAUUUGUCAAUUCUUGAUCUUAAAGCAUAAGUCACUAGUGUUUUACUCAGGAAAUGUUCUUCAAUGCCCAUGUGUUCAAGAUUCUUCCCCACCUUUUCUUCCAUUAGUUUGAGUGUAUCUGGUUUUAUGUGUAGGUCCUUGAUUAACUUGUACUUAAGCUUUGUACAUGGUCAUAAAAUUGGGAUUAUUUGCAUUCUUCUACAUGCUGACUUCCAGUUUAACCAGCACUAUUUCUGGAAAAUGCUAUGUUUCUUCAUUUGGAUGGUUUUAUCUCCUUUGCCAAAUAUCAAACGAUAGGGUGUGUGCGUUCAUUACUUGGUCUUCAAUUCUAUUCCACUGGUCUAUCCAUCUGUCUCUUUAUCAAUACCAUGCAGUUUUUUAUCACUAUUCCUCUGUAAUACUGCUUGAUUUCAGGGGUGAUGAUUCCCCCAGAAGUUCUUUUAUUGUUGAGGAUAGUUUAAGCUACAUGGCUUUUUUCUUAUUCGGAAUGAAUUUGCAAAUUUCUCUUUCUAGCUUUAUUAAAGAAGUGAGUAGGAAUUUUGAUGGAAAUUGCAUUGAAUCUGUACAUUGCUUUUGGCAAAAUAGUCAUCUUUACUAAAUUAAUCCUGUCAAUGCAUGAGCAUGGAAUCUCUUUCUAUCUUCUGAGAUCUUCCUCAAUUCCUUUCUUCAGAUACUUGAACUUCUUGUCAUACAGAUCAUUCCUUUGCUUGUUUAAACUAACACCAAGUUAUUUUAUAAUAUUUGGGACUAUGGUGGAGUGUGUGAUUUCAUUAUUUUUUCUCAGCGUGUUUAUCCAUUGAGGAGUGGAAGGCUACUGGUCUGUUUGAGGUAAUUUUAUACCCUGACACUUUGCUGUAGUUAUUUAUCAGGUUGAGAAAUUCUCUGGUGGAACUUUUGGGGUCAAUAAGUAUAUACAAUCAUAUCAUCUGCAAAUAGUGAUAUUUUGAUAUCUUCUCUUCCAAUUUGUAUCUGGUUGAACCCCUUAUGCUGUCUGAUUUCUCUGACUAUGGCAUGGAGUCCUGUUUAGAAAGAGUAGGGAGAGAGUUGGGCAGCCUUUUCUAGUUCCUGGUUUUACUGGGAAUGCUUCAAGUUUCUUUCCAUUUAGUUUGAUGUUAGCUACAGGUAUGCUGUAUAUUUCUUACACUAUGUUUUUUUUUUUUUGGUUCUUUUUUUCGGAGCUGGGGAAAGAACCCCGGGCCGUGCACUUCCAAGGUAAGCGCUCUACCACUGAGCUAAAUCCCCAGCCCCACACUAUGUUUUGAUAUGAGCCUUCAUUUCUUGAUUUUUCCAGGAUUUUUAGCCACAAGGGUUGUUGAAUUUUGUCAAAUGCUUUUAUACCAUCUAAUGAAAUGUUCAUGUGCUCUUUAAUUUUGAGUUUGUUUACAUGAUGGAUUACAUUCAUGGAUUUUCCUAUAUUAAACCAUACUUCCAUUCCUGGGUUCAAGUCUACUUGAUCAUGAUGGAUGAUUUUUUUGAUGUGUUCUUAGAUUCGGUUUGCAAGAAUGUUAUAAGUAUUUUUCAUCAAUAUUCAUAAUUCAUCAAUAUGAAAUAUUCAUAUUUUCAUCAAUAUCAUAAGGAUAUUGGUCUGAAGUUCUCUUUCUGUGCUGAGUCUAUGUGUGGGUUAAGUAUAAGAGUAAUUGUGGAUUCAUGUAAGGAAUGUGGUAGUUCUCUGUCUGUUUCAAUUUUGUGGAAGUGUUUGGAUAAUAUUUGUAUGAGGUCUUCUAAGAAGGUCUGAUAAAAUUCUGCACUGAACCAUCUCUACUUGGGCUCUGUUUGGUUGGGAGAUUUUCAAUAUAUGCUUCUAUUUCUUUAGGAGUUAUGGGGUUCUUUAGAUAGUUUAUUUGUUCCUGUUUUAACUUUGCUACCUGGUAUCUGUCUACGAAAUUAUCCAUUUCCUCCAGAUUUUGUAGUUUUGUUGAAUAUAGGCUUUUAUAGUAGAAUCUGAUGAUUUUUUUUUUUUUACUUUCUUCAGAUUCCCUUGUUACGUCUCCCUUUUCUUUUCUGAUUUUGUGAAUUUCGAUACAGUCUCUUUUACCUCUGGUUGGUUUGGCUAAGGGUUUAUCUAUCUUAUUGUUUUUGUCAAAGAAACAGCUCCUGGUUUUGUUGAUUCUUUGUAUGGUGCUUUUCAUUUCUGCUUCAUUGAUUUCAGCUCUGAGUUUUAUUUCCUGCUUUCUACCCCCCUUGGGUUUACUUAGUUCUUUUUGUUCUAGAGCUUUUACAUGUGCUAUCAAGCUCCUGAUAUAUGCUCUCUCCUGUUUCUUUUCGCAAGAACUCAGAUCUAUAAGUUUUUAUUUUUAGUUCUGCUUUCAUUGUGUCACGUAUGUUUGGGAAUGUUGUGUCUUCAUUUUCAUUAAGUUCUAAGAAGUCUUUAAUUUCUAUCCUUAUCUCUUCCUUGACCAAUUUGUCAUGGAGUAAAGCAUUUUUCAACUUCCAUGUAUACGUGAGCAUUCUGACAUUAUUGUUAUUGUUGAAGACAAGUCUUAGUGUGUGGUGAUCUUAUAGAAUGCAUGGGAUUAUUUCUAUCUUCCUGUAUCAGUUAAGGUCUGCUAAGGGACCGAUUGUGUGGUCAAUUUUGAAGAAGGUUCCCUGACGUUAUGAGAAGAAUGUAUAUCCUUAUAUUUUAGGAUGGAAUGUUCUAUAAAUAUCUGUUAAAUCCAUUUGGUUCAUAACUUCUAUUAUGUUCUCUACAUCUCUGUUUAAUUUCUGUUUCCAAGAUCUCUCCAGUGAUGAGGAUGGGGUGUUGAAAUAUCCUACUAUUAUCAUGUCAGGUGCAAUGUGUGCUUUUAGCUUUAGUAAGUUUUCUUUUAUGAAACCUCAGGAUUUCUCGUGAGUCAUUUUUACUGCACAAAUCCAAAUGUAAAUACAACAUUCUAGUUCUUGAGUUAAUAUUCUGGAAAUUUACCUGGGAGAAGAAAGGCCUCACUCUCUAACUAGAGAGCUAACUAUACAAAUACAGAAAUUACUAAUGAAAAGUAAGUUGCUGUAAAAAUAUUUCAAAUUAAAAUAUAGUCAUUCUCUGUGUUGGCUGUGGGAAGGUUGUUUAUUUGUUUUUGUUUUUGUUUUUUGUUUCUUUUAUUUUAAUAUGGACAAAUAUUUAUACUACAUCAAAAUAAGUGUGAAAUGCCUAACAAUAGAAUCCUAUGCAUUCCAGCAUUUUUUUUUCUACAAGAAGAGAGUCCACUGAAUGGUCAAGUAUGUUCAACAGCACUCUCGCUUCAUAAUUCUCAGAGCUUUAAGUCUACCCUAUGUUCUCUACACUUAGAUUUUUAUAACUUUUAUAUGAAUGGGUCAGAUCUAAUCUAAUAGAUCUAAUAAAGUAUUAUACCUGACUAUGUCCCCUGCCCCCACAAGAAAAUCGUGUAUUGUUUUUCUUUUUUUUUUGUUGUUGUUUUUGUUGUUUUGGAGAGCUGUGUUUUUUCAUUAACCCAAAUAGAAAAUUAAUAUAGUGAUCAAUUAUUGAACAGAAACGAAAAUUAUGUAUUGUGGUGAGAAAUUCCCCAAAAUAGAGUGUACCCAAAUGCAAAUCUAAAAUGUUUGUGGCUAGACAUGCACACAAGCUCAGGACUCAUGUAGCUGACAAGCAUUCCACACCUGAUCAACUUUAGUGAUUUGGGAAAUUAACUUAUUCAUACAGAAGCAAACUCAUGGGGAAUGCUUUUUUUCUUAGCCGUGUUUAUAAGUGAUCAAAUGGUGAAGCAGGAUGUAAACAAAUACUGUUAUCCUUCAUUGUUGCUUAUUUUAACAGUUUAAUUUAUGUACAACCUCUACGUGCUUUUUUCUAGUGUGUUUCUCUGUGUCUCUGUCUCUCCAUGAAUAUAUAGGCAUACAAGUGUGUGUGAGUGUGUGUAUGAGUGCGUGUGUGUGUGUGUGUGUGUGUCUUAUAUGGUAUUUAUAAACAUAGAUAACAUGUUUAUUUAUUUAAAAUUUGGAAAUACUGAAGAUCACAUUUGAUUUGUGGAUUAACCAUGUGCUGAUCUACUCACAUAUCUCUGAUAUUUUAUUAUAUCAAGUGAAUAGAGAGAGAGCCAAGAGGCUGGUGAUAUCUCCUACUCUACACUUGUCAGGAAAAAGUGGUCUAUUUUUUGUCAAGAAAACCCAAACUUCAGCAAAGACAUAUACACUCCACAAAACAGGAAAGGACAUCUCAUUUGAAAGGAAAAGUUAUCAGAGUGUGAGAAAAAUGAGUUUGCCACAUUCCAAUAUUUGUGGGACAUGAGACUGAACUUCAGAAGAUAUAAUGGGAAGGGACAGGCAGAAUCCCUAAGGAACCAAAGUACGCUUAGCACUGGAGUUCCUCAUUACAUGAGAGCUCAGAUAUUGGUAAGGAUGGUAAACAUAAUGAUAAGAACUUUGCAGUCCAUACUCAGUCUCCAUAUAAGGCAACAAUGUGAACAAGAUGAAAAGUAGUCACCACUACAGUACUAACAGCUACUUUAGCAGUGGUAUUGUGAAAAACAGAGUAUAACUGGAGAGAGAAGAAAAGGUAGAUAUUUGAAAACAGACUAGGCUCUGCUGGAACUGAACAAUUUUCCAUGAAAGUAACCAAGCAAUCACACCACAGGUGCCAAAUGCAAAAAUGAGCAAAGAUUAACUGUAUAAAUACUAUGUGUACAGAAAUACAGGUAGUUUGUUGGAAUUCUAUGAUGUUGAGAUGAAAGAAUAGGAAGGAAUUUCUAUCAAGUCAGGCACCAUAUCCUGUUCUUAGAAUACUCACAUUCAAGAGACUGAGACAGAGAAGUUAGGAAUUUCAGGUUAGCCCGAACUACAUAUCAAGACAAUACAUCUUUUAUUCUUUUUUUCUUUAUUUAAAUCAAAAGUCUGGUUGAUAGAAUAUCACGAACAAUAUUAAGAAAAUAGAAAUUUAACGCCUAUGCAGUGAUACUCUUGCUAAGAAAACAUGUUCUAUAAAGAGACGUUAAUUAUUAAGUUACAAAUACCAGCUGUCAUAUUGAAGGUUGUGGCAUGAAGGGGUAUGGUGUUGUUUGGUUGAUCAUUCUUCACUUCCAUGUCUCAUUUUACACAUCUUUAAAAGCUUCUCUGAUGACCUCCUUACUGUAUAGACAUCGAUAUGUGCCUUGCCUUUAAUUCUAUGUAUUAAAACCAGUAAUUUAUUUAUCAAAUGACUAUUUGAUUUUGCAUUAUCUUCAAAAAUAAUGGGUCUUGAGGAAUUUAUACCUUUAUUGUGUGGGUUUGAAUAUUCAUAAUAGCAAUCAGAGAAUAAUCGGGGCCCAACACACACACAGGGUUUUUGGAGAGACUAUACCUGUGGCAAUACGAAAGCAUAGAAAUAAGUAGGUUGAUCUGUUUUUCUGCUUAACAUUUAUAACUAGUUACUGAUUAGAAUGGGUAAAAAGUUGAGAUACAGUCAAGGUUUUCUUUUCCUUAAUUUCAAUGAUUGCUUAUACAGCAUGUGAAACUGACUCACCCCUGGUAAAAUUUCUGCCUGAACUGCAUUAGUGCAAAGACUACAAGUUUGCACCAGCUUUGUAAAUAUUUGGACACUUGACUCAAUGCUUAACACACUUUGGAAAAUCCGCUUGUGUUAAGAGAGAAAGUAUUAGAUAUGAAAAUCUGUGAGAAUAAAUCACUCCUAAGCUUUGAUUUUUGCGACUACAGAGAAAGACUUUGACUCUGAUGUAACUGAGUGUCUAAAAGUAUUAAAAAAUCAAUAUCUCUUAUCUGCAAGAAUCCUUUUAGUGGCUUACUGCUCUGUCUUCCAGAAGAUGAGUGUUAAUUGUGUCAAUUGCUCUUUUUGGCAGGAAAAGGGCUUGUUUGUCAAAUGCUUUUCAAUCGCCAAGAAGUUUGAGGUACCUGGAGAAUGCUUCCUCCUGUUCAUCCUCAUCCUGCUCUCAUGGCCUUUGUUAUCUGCACCAGUCCAUCUCUACACACCCCCAUGUACAUUUUUCUGAUGAACUUACGUAUCCUGAAAUUUGGUUACACUAGUUCUGUCAUACACAAUAUAUGGAGAGACUUGAAAGUGAGAUCUGAGGAAUCUCUCAGGAGGGAUGUGCCACACAGACGUUUUUCUUCACACUUUUUGUAUAAUUCAGUGCUGCCUAUUGCCAGCCAUGGCCUUUGUCCACUGUAUGGCCCUGCUUCAUUCUGCAGCCCAAAUGAGUAGUGAGAUGACAGAUAUCCUCCUAAUGCUUACCUGCGAUAAGCGAAGCAAGAAACACUUUGUGGUAUCUGUGUCAAGUACAUAUAAUCUCAACCUAAAAGAGGAAAACCACUGGGCAAAUCCAAAUUCAGAGACAUUCUUGCAAGGAACUGCUCUUCUGUUUUUAUACUUUUUGUUGUACAUAUGCUUGUUCACAUGUGCAACACAUGCAUGCCUACUGUCCAGGAGGUUGAAGAAGGUGUGAGGUUCCGUGAUGCUGAAAUUACAGCCACUUGUGAGCUGUCAACAGGUUCUCUGGAAGAACAGAUAAUGCUAUUAAUCACCGAAUCAUUCAUUCAUCUGCAGCAAACACCAUUUUUUGUAAAU